rnacentral:ribozyme from 1 species
AGCAAUGCUUCGCUCAUACGGGGGUUGAUCCGAAUCCUCUGGAAGGUACGUCCCCGUCAUCUCAAUACGUCACCAUCGUACAGAACGGUAACAUGUCUCCCAAUUUUCCAAGCUUGGGUAUUCGGAUGAGUUACAGAGCUAAAUUGAGAGGG